GUGGUGGCAAGCUUGCUUAUGGGUUACGUAGCAAUUGAGUCUACGUUGCCCUGGGAAGGUCUGAGACAAUGACGUAGCGCACCCGUGAUGGGUGACGUGUUAAUUACGUUGGAAGGUACCAGCAAACAACGGGCGUAACAGCAUCUGGCGGAAGACCUGUAGCGACGCUAUGCGGUUACUUGUCCCGGUUGAAAAUCUUCCAGUCAGCAUUAAAUAGUUCAAUUAGCAAGGCGACCUCGGUCGUAACUCAAUUCAGACUACUCUGCCACCAC
rnacentral:RNase_P_RNA from 1 species